UGGCGGGGGAGGCAAGCAGAGGGGACGCCGCGCCCAGGCCGCGCCUCUGGAUGGCGACAGAGACGGCCCGGCGCGCCCGCUGCCUGGGCACCACUCGGGGAGGACAGGCCUGGCCAGCGCGAACUUUGUGGACUUGGGCUGUGUGGCGCGUGGGCCCCACGAGCCCCGACUCCUUUCCGCAGAGGCCUGCGACACCGGGUCCCAGAGUGUACUAUCGUACAAGGAGGUGCCCUGGUGGGCCUCGGAGAAGGAUCAGGAGCCCGACCAGCUUUUGUUCAAGCAAAGAACGUUUGUCAGGCAGGAGCAAUUCAUGAAUCUGGAGUGUCUUGGCCAAGUCUGUGCUGGGUCCGGAUGACCGCACCGGGAAGAGGAGAGAGAACAGAGCCCACGGUGCCUGCGGCUUGGAGUCGGGGGUGGUGGAGAGUCUGGGAGCCAGGGAGGCUGGACGGGAGAGAGUGCGGCUGGUCAGUGCAGUGUCCUGGCAAGGGGAGGACGGGUCACCAGAAGGCACAGCUGGAAGGCCGGCGGGAGGCAAGGGCAGGCGCUGGCGGCUCCCAGGGGGGCCGGGGCCAGACCUCGAUGGGAGCUGAGGGUGGGGGAUGAGCGGGGCGCCGAGUUCCGUUGCUAGGAAACAGCGCAGCUCCUGAUCCCAAAGCGUGCGGCCAAGUGACAGUCUGUCGUCGUCGAUUGGCUGGCUGUGGAGACUGGCGAGAGCCCACAGCACCUUCAACUCUGAAAGCCGAGUAAGUUUAGUGGACGCUCAGUCCCCAGCCCCACUCCAUGCAGAGCUGACUGGGGAUCCUGUCCUGCAGCCUCGAGCAGUUCCUGGGUCCCCCAUGCCCCAAGCUGUGUCCUGGCCCACAGAUGGGGCGUCCUGCCUCCGGUGGCUCAGGGGGCCAUGGGAGCCCCAGACACGCAGAGUGGCCCAUGGAGGAGGAGUGGCGCAUGAGGGUGGCUGGACGUGGCACUCCCUCCAGGUCUGGGCCGGGAACGCCAGCGUCCCCUCCACGGGGCAUGUGUGCCCAUCGUCACUGCUCUGCUGCAAAACACAGGGGUGCUGUCUGUGGUUUUCCUGUUCUCUGCCCUUCCGUACUGGGCAUGGGACAUUGGUCACUGAGGUCAUGGGCUGCCGGUCUGACCGAGAGAUUCCUAGCUGGAUGUUAAACUGGGCCCACUGCUGGCCACGAUGUGUCCCGUGUGCAGUUUGCAGAGACGCCCCUGACCGCCGAGAGAUGCGGGAGCAGGGAGGGAGGGAGACAGGACAGCCGUCCCCAGCAGGUGUAGGAGUCUGCGUGAGACAGGUACUGGCCAGGUGGGGACGACAGCGUCUGUGGGGC